AGAAUAUCAUGUGCAGAUUAAAGAGACUGGAUCCUUGUAGUAUGUAUAUUUGGUUGCUGCAUUCAUAUUAAUCAAGCAAUGCUUUCAUCUCCUUUUGUUGGGCAGAGGGCAUGGCUUCCUUCAGACAAAAGGAAAGAACAAAUCACAAAAUGAAAUAGAAAUCUAAAAGCUUGAAGUUGAUACUACGAUAAGAAAACAUCUUGCAUCUUACCAGGACUAUGGGGGAGCUACCUUUUCUAAUCUUUUUAAAUAAGAUAAAGAAUUGGUUGAUGGUAAAG
rnacentral:misc_RNA from 1 species